UUUUUUUUUUUUUUUUUUUUUUUUUUUUUUGAUUUUUGGGCCACACCUGCGGCAUAUGGAAGUUCCUAGGUGAGGGGUCAGAUUGGAGCUACAGCUGCCGGCCUACACUACAGCCAUGCAGCUCGGAUCCCGCGUUGCUGUGGCUCUGGCAUAGGCUGGUGGCUACGGCUCUGAUUCGACCCCUAGCCUGGGAACCUCCAUAUGCUGUGGGAGCGGCCCAAGAAAUAGCAAAAAGACAAAAAUAUAUAUAUAUUAAAAAAAAUAUUAAGCAUUAAUUAUUAAUAUUAAUGCUAUUAAGCUACAGCAUUGUAAAUGAACAAUUGAAUUAGAAGUUAUGAUUUUUUAAAAAAUAGAACACUUUGAAUUAUAGACCAGAGCUGAUUAAUUGAAGUCUCACUUUUUUCCAUCACAUUUAAUGAAUAGCAUUUAGGGACCAGACAUAAGAUUAGUCAUUGGAAAGUUGUGUUUUUAAUUUAUUCUUUUUUAUUAUAGGAUAAAUAAUUACUUCUCUUGAGCUUAUGGGGUUGAUAUGUAAUUGUUAAUGUGCACACAUGGAGUUCCCAUCAUGGCGCAGCAGAAACGAAUCCAUUUUCAGUCUUUGUUGAAUUUUGAAAAUCAUAUUGAGAGAGUUCCCAUGAAGGCUCAGUGGUAAUGAACCCGACUUAUAUCCAUGAAGACAUGGGUUUGAUCCCUGGCCUCACUCAGUGGGUUAAGGAUCUGGCAUUGCCAUGAACUGUGGUGUAGGUCGCAGAUGCGGCUCGGAUCUGGCAUUGCUGUGGCUGUGGCAUAAGCUGGCAGCUAUAGGUCCGAUUAGACCCCUAGCCUGGGAACCUCCAUAUGCCAUGGGUGCGGCCCUAAAAAGACAAAAGACAAAAAAUACAUAUAUAUGCACACAUAAAGACCCCAAAAUAUGACACAGAGUAUGUCUCCUAUUGCAAACUCAUCCUAGUUCCUACUUCCUUUUCCAUCAAAAAGGAAAAAAAUACACUGAAUAAAUUUAAGGUUAUUGUAGGCCUUAGAAAAACUCACUUUCUUUGUGAAAUUUCUUGAGCUUCUUCAUAAAGAUAUUAGGUAAAUACCAUGUUGGGGAUAUUAUUGAUGCUGCAAAAUAUUUUAAGACUUUAAAGCUUUAUUUUAUAAACUGGCUUUUGGUUUAAUUAAUGUAUUCAUUCCAUAGAGUGUUUCAAACUAGGUAUUGUAAUUAAUUCAAUAUGUUGCAAUUUUAAAAGAAGAGUUAUACCAUAACAACUUAUGAUUCUCACUUGUUUCCUUUAUCUUUAAUUUUUCCAUCAUCACAAUUUACUUUAUCAGUUGUACUUCUAUUAAGCACACAAUUGACUUUCAUAUUUUUACAUACAAACAUUUCCAUUCCUAAUGGAUGAUGAGUAGACUAGGUAAAGGUUGCUCAAAACUUUUUUAUUCCUGGAUUGAAGUAUUAUAUGAGUAUGCAUACUUUCUUCUGUAAGAGAGAGCUUUCCUUGUUACUUCUGUCAGAAUAAUUCAAUCACAUCUACCCUUUAAGAAGAUGAUCUCUGACAUGUUUAUAAAAGCUGCUUAAUCUUUUAAUAGAUGACUAAUUUUUUGAAGACAGCAUCAUGAAGGUUUUACCUUUAUACCUGGAAAAAUGAUGUGAAAAGGAGCAGUUCCAUUGAACUCUUUAAACCUUCAGUUCUUUUUUGAAAAAGUACAAAUGGUAAUUUUUAGUUGAAAGCUUAUCUUAAUUUUUUCUACCCAUCUGUCUUGGUCGUUAGGUACUUUAAGUAAGGUUCCAUCUUUUCAUACAGAUUAUUUAAUCAGAGUCUCUGAGACUCUCUUGCUUUCUGGGGACCUCAGAUCUUUACUUUGAAGGGUUUCAAAGCUCAAGUAUGUGCAAAGAUGAUUUGGGUAUAUUUACAAAAUUUCUAUCUCAUUCAGUCCUAUAGAGUUGAUCAUGCAGUUAAAAGGGAAAUUGAUCUUUAUUACAUACUAUUAAAAAAUUAAGAUUUUCUGGGUAAUUACAACUAUACCAGAAAAUUCAAUUAAGGAGGCGGAGGUUUUCCCCUAAAUAAUCUACAUGUUCUUUUUUCCUGUUGGGGCUGAUGAUGUGCCUCUCCACACUGAACUAUAUUUUUUCCAACUGACUUUUGCUGAGAAAAGACCCUUUCGCAUUUGAACUGAUAAUAGAUUAUCUCGACCCUGGAGGAAAGGUGACACUUGGUAGCACCAUGAGGAGAAUCAUUGUUCGUCCCAGUGGCACAGUUCAGUCUUAUAUUAAGUGUUCUGGGACUAAUUAACCAGGAAACGACUCUAAUUAAAAAGGAAACUGCUCAUCAGCUGCCUGCUCAGGAUAUUUUACAGAGAGAAACUGUAGACUUAGCUACUUGCUCUCUAGUUUCUAGCAACAUUCUUUAACUGCUGUCUCCCAGGUAGAAGGGGUCAAUUAAGGAUUUCUAGCAGAUUUUAUUGUGUAGUAAUAAACUUUGAUGUUUAAUGGACUUGUUUUCAGACAUAAAUUUACAUAAUAACCAUGAUUCUGGAGUUACAAUAUUUUGGUUGAUUUGCAGGGCUUUUUUUAACUCGUAUUCUUAUGUUUUUUAAACCCUGGAACGAGCCAUGCAAUGUAGAGAGAAUCUCAGUAGAUAACAUUUGGGUAUGUAUGUAGAUAAAUAAAUAUAAAAAAACAUUUAUAUGGCAUACAAAAUCAAAAUAAGCAUAAAUAUGUAACAACUAUUAAUAUAUCUAUUUAAAUGUCUUACUGGCAUUUCUGUCAGCCUAACAGUUUAUUUGGCUAAACUGAAAUUGUCUUAGAGAAUUACCAUGUCAGAGAAAGUACUCAGCAAGGGUAUAUGCUUUAUAUAUGUGCUAUAUGUCUCCUUUCCCAGCCUUGUUUGUGUUUGUAUGAUGAUGAUUAUAUCCAGCAUAUCAGAUAUUUCUUAAUUUCCCAAAUAGUAAAUUAAUUAUGAACUGCUAGUAAGAACUUUAUGAUUGUUCCUAAUGUUGCUUUUGUUAAUUUUACUUCCUAUCUUUUGAUAUUUGUCCUAACACAUGUAUAGAAGUUUAUUAGUUUUUAAAAUGAGCAGAUAGAUAGUUGGACAACUUCGGUAGAUAAGAGCUGGAAAGGCUACCUUUGUAAGGGCCGGAAUUGUCGUUCACUCUUCCUUGUGUCUUUCCCACCAUCCCGCUCCCAUCCAUUGGCACAUGGUAGACUCAGAGCAUGUUUUUAUGAAGCUGAUUUGAAUUAUGGCCCUUUGGGGAUCAAUUUAUUCUGUGCUAUUAUUUCAAACAAGUUAUAGUUUAAGAUAGUAAACCUUGUGACAAUGAUUUCUGGCACAACAGAAUCUAAUGUUUGCAAACUUCAUGGCAUGCUUAGCCAAGGCAAACAUAGCUUUAUGAAUGAAGGAGCAAUUACUUUUUAAAUGUAGAUGCAUUUCUGUUUAGACUUGUAGUUUCUUUAAAUAAAGGAAGAAAAGUUGUUAACCCCCAAAUGCUGCUUUUAUUAUAUGUGAUGCAUCUGAUGGGAGCAAGACAGUAUCUUGAACAAAAACAGUAUUAAAGCCAGAAGCUGUAGCUUGUAUUCAGGUUUUAUAUCUGAGCUAAACAGGGUUUUCUUUGAACUUUGGGUAGGUGGAUUUGUGUUAGUUUGCAUAACUAAGUUACUCAAAUGUUCACCUUAUUUGAAGUGAUCUCCUAUGUUUAAUACAUUAAUUUUAAGAAUUUAUUUAGAAACAUUUAUUGAUUUAUCUUUGUGACUUAUCUAUGGUUAGAUCGAUUUCAGAUAAUUGUAUUACAAGUUGAUAUGGAAGUCUAAAACUUUAAAUACUCAGCCUAAGGUCAAAUGUGUGUCAGAAAGAGAAAUUAAAAUUGAACUUAGGUAUAAUUUAUUGGUGGCUUCUAACUCUUUUAAAAAUGUUUUGCAUUGAAUAUUGCUUGGGGCACAAAGUCAUAGAGAAUAUUUCUUCUUUAUGUUGUAAUAAAACUGCAGGCUUAUCAAAGUUUUCAUCAAUAAAUACUGCCUCCUACCUAAGCAUUAAGAGGCAACUUACUAGCUUUCCAAAGCUGACCUUUUGAAUGCUGAGGCAUGACAGCACAUAUGUUUUGUUUAUUAUCUGGGUUGCUCACCACUGUUAAUAGCUGCCCUCCUGUGUGUACACAUAGCAGUGGAUGAAAACUGUGCCUCACUCCAAAAUGAUGCUGAACUGUUCUAAAUUAGGCACUUUUCUUAGGUAAAAGGUUGAGUUCAGAUUCAGCAAAGUGGUAGAUAUUAUUUCCAUUUAUGUUGUUAGUAGAACUCUACGUAGAAUGAUUUUAUUACUAUAUAAGAAAGGUUCUCUUGGUAUUAAAUUCCAUCCAGUUUGUACCAAAUUCAUGGGUAUCUUAAGUAACUGAUAAUUCUUGAAUAAGGGUCCUCUGGCGGCAUAUAAAUACUUUGGGAGAAUAGUUACAAUUAAAUCAUGACUGUCUUUUUAUUCUGAAGAUAGAAAUGCUCUUUAACAAUGCCUGCAGCAGUGAAACAUCCUUGAAAAACAAGAGAAAGCCAUGUCUUAUCUUGGUAAUUUUAAAGGUUAUCUAAGGAUUGUAUGAUGCUUCAGGGGCACUCAAAAGAGUCUUUAAAGAGUGUUUAGUCCCAUGAAAAUAACUCAGUAAAAUUAAAUGCCAGCAUUAUGUCACUUUGAUCCUAUGUAGAGGAUAAACUUAGAAUACAAUCUAAGUUGCCAAUUCUAUAUCCCUCUGAAAGUUUUGAUUUAAUCAUUUAACACUGUGUCAAUUCUUUGAUAAUCUGUUUUUGGUUUGUUUGCAUUCAGUUUUGGCUUUACCACUGCCUUUUUUUCCUUCUUGUCAGAAACAUUAUCUAGAACAGACCUCAAAAUUUAAUGGGCAUUCUGAAUACUGGGGAUCUUGUUAAAAAGAAGAUUCAGGAGAUUUGGGAUGUAAAUUGAGAUUCACAUUUCUAACAAUCUGAUUAUGUCAACAAUACUCCUAGUCCAAAAACCACACUUGAAGUAGCAAAGGUCUAGGUCCUAGACCUUGAACUCUAAACUGCUUUUUGAAAGAGUUUUUUGUACCAUUAUUAGCUCAAUAAAUGAGUGUAAUUUUCCUGGUUUAUUUUAGUUAAGAAAGAUAAAUACGCUAAAAUCUCACAAUGUAGUUUACUAUUGACUAUAAAACAGUUUUUUAAAAUGUUUAUAGGAGUUCCCAUUGUGGCUCAGUGGAAACAAAUCUGACUAGUAUCCAUGAGGACGCAGGUUCGAUCCUUGGCCUCACUCAGUGGUUUAAGGAUCUGGCGUUGCUUUGAGCUGUGGUGUAGAUCACAGACAUGGCUUAGAUCUGGAGUUGCUGUGGAUGUGGUGUAGGCCAGUGACUACAGCUUUGAUUUGACCCCUAGGCUGGGAACCUCCAUAUGCUGUGGGUAUGGCCCUAAAAAGACCAAAAAAAAAAAAAAAAAA
rnacentral:lncRNA from 1 species